UGAGGAAUAUUGGUCAAUGGACGCAAGUCUGAACCAGCCAAGUAGCGUGCAGGAUGACGGCCCUAUGGGUUGUAAACUGCUUUUAUAUGGGGAUAAAGUGGGGAACGUGUUCCCUUUUGCAGGUACCAUAUGAAUAAGGACCGGCUAAUUCCGUGCCAGCAGCCGCGGUAAUACGGAAGGUUCGGGCGUUAUCCGGAUUUAUUGGGUUUAAAGGGAGCGUAGGCCGUUUGGUAAGCGUGUUGUGAAAUGUAGGAGCUCAACUUCUAGAUUGCAGCGCGAACUGUCAGACUUGAGUGCGCACAACGUAGGCGGAAUUCAUUGUGUAGCGGUGAAAUGCUUAGAUAUCAUGAAGAACUCCGAUUGCGAAUGCAGCUUACGGGAGCGCAACUGACGCUGAAGCUCGAAGGUGCGGGUAUCGAACAGG
rnacentral:rRNA from 1 species